AUUGAACGCUGGCGGCAGGCCUAACACAUGCAAGUCGAACGAGUGGCGGACGGGUGAGUAAUGUCUGGGAAACCGCCCGAUGGAGGGGGAUAACUACUGGAAACGGUAGCUAAUACCGCAUACCAUCGGAUGUGCCCAGAUGGGAUUAGCUAGUAGGUGGGGUAACGGCUCACCUAGGCGACGAUCCCUAGCUGGUCUUAGAGGAUGACCAGCCACACUGGAACUGAGACACGGUCCAGACGCCUACGGGAGGCAGCAGUAGGGAAUAUUGCACAAUGGGCGCAAGCCUGAUGCAGCCAUGCCGCGUGAAUGAAGAAGGCCUUCGGGUUGUAAAGUACGUUCAGCGAGGAGGCGUUACUCGCAGAGGAAGCACCGGCUAACUCCGUGCCAGCCGCCGCGGUAAUUC
rnacentral:rRNA from 1 species